UCAUGCUUCGUUAUUCAGUGUUCAGCAGAAUUUAAUACGUGUAUUCCAUUAUACACAUUUGUUUUUAAUUUUAAGUUUUUAAAAUCUGCAACAGCUUUUAAAAUGAGGCUAUCGAUGGUUUUUAUUGCUGUCCUUGUGGUAGUCUGCAUCAUGAGUGAGUUCGUGUCGGCCAGAUUCAAAGACUUCCGGGGAUGCCGUUGCCCCGGAGAACCCAGCUUCAUGACUUGCAAGACCUGCACACGAAAUUGCCGACAACAGACGCGCUGUGUGAACGAAGGAGGUACUUAUAUUUGCGCCGUCAGCGAAUCGACAAAGAAAAAUCCACAAGAAGAGAGGAGUAUGAAAGAUUGCUGCGGCAAAUGCGACAAGGCCUGCAAAGGUGAAUUAGCCUGCCAGAUCUUCAGUGACCUUGUUGGUUAAUACCAACAAAAAUCCCUUUUCUCAAGAUCGCCAGCCAGUAACCAACGGCCGCUGCUUUAACUACGUACCGCAGUCAGGUACCUUUCACGGUCUAUUUGUUUAUCAUUAAAAAGCUUGUGGUGG